AAGUGGAGCAAUCCAUGAGUAAAGUGGCGCACGGGUGAGUAACACGUGACUAACCUACCCUCGAGUGGGAAUAACCUCGGGAAACCGGGGCUAACACCGCAUAAUAUCUACGGAUCAAAUGCGUAAGCAGCUUGAGGAGGGGGUCGCGGCUGAUUAGCUAGUUGGCGGGGUAAUGGCCCACCAAGGCAGUGAUCAGUAGCCGGCCUGAGAGGGCGCACGGCCACACUGGAACUGAAACACGGUCCAGACUCCUACGGGAGGCAGCAGUGGGGAAUUUUGCACAAUGGGGGAAACCCUGACGCAGCAACGCCGCGUGGAGGAUGACGCCCCUUGGG
rnacentral:rRNA from 1 species